UCUGCCAACAUUGAACUAACCUGUAUUCACGUGCAAUUCACGUACGAUUAAGUUACUCAAAAAGGAGCAUUGAGAUCUGAGUUGUAUUAGAAUCCCACCUAAAAUAUUUGUCGUUCUUCGGACGUCAAUUUGCGUUUAAAUUCUUUUAGGUGAGAAAACAAUAUUUCCUAAACUACUUCUCGGGGCUGUUUUCUUAAUAUUUCCGUCUAAAGCAGCCGUAAAAGGGCGAUAUUCGACAGCUAAAGGUAAAAGAUUUGUGUUUACUGCUGAAAUGACUACAACUGUGCUUGAUGCUUUCAAAGAAGCAGGCAUAUCCAUAGUCAAUGUCCCUGCCAACGUGACGAAGUAUUGCCAGCUUUUUAACCUUACAGAGUUCAUUCAUUCUACAAUUACAUGACUACUACAGAAAGAAAAAGAUAUCAUCGAUGUUGGUUGGAAAGGUUCCGGAAUCUUUGAUGCUAUUAAGCUUGGCUCAGACAAGAUCCUAUCCAUCGAUAAUACGAAAUUUGAACGCCACUAAGCCAUUGACUGCAGUUCGGGUUAAGGUGGACAAUUUCUACAAAUUUACGCGUCAAAUCUUGAGGUCGUCUUACUUUAGAGCUUUUGAUUCUCACACAGCUUGAAGGAAGAGACGUUGUUGUAGUCCUAGAUGACACACCACCUCGUGAAACUACUAUCGAGAACUCCACUAAAUACUCUCGUCAUAAAUAAAUAUUUUUUACAGUUUUAUUUAUAUACAUAUAAUAGUCUUUAUAAUGCAACUGGGAAAUGUUACCCGAGGAAAAAACGUUUACCGAGCCAUUUGAUGUAUAAAUAUAUGUAUAAAUGUAUAAAAAUUAUGAAAAAUUAUUUAAAUAGACCGAGUGACUGAAAUCAUACUCCUUUAGUUUCGUUUUAAGUUUUUUAAGGCUGUUACAACUUUUCAAUUCGGAAGGUUAAAUAUUCCAAAUUUCUUUUUGGUCGAUAUGUUUACCGAGCCAUUUGAUAGCUAUUUUGCUAGGGUUCGCAAAAACCAGGA